UUUAUUAUUUAAUUUUAUCGCAACGAAAUAGAUCUCUAUUUUGUCACGAAAUGUAUUAAAUUUACAUAUAUUCCACAUGUGUUUAUAUAGUAUAUUAUAAAAAAAAAUCAUUCUUUAUUUGUGUGAUUUAAUACAUUGUUUUGUGUCUAGAGAUCGGAGCCUUAACUGGCGGUCUCGUCGCCUGUUUGAAUAAGUUAAUACUAAUUAAGUAAUAGUAUUUAUUAUUCUUAUUAAAGUCUACAGUGCAGUCAGAAAAAAAAAUUGCCCGACGCAUAACAAAAUUACAGUGUCAACUUAAAAUACCAGAAAAGGUCUAGAGUGACAAUGGAUGCAGAUGGAUGGACAGACACAGCCGACUGUUCAAAUAUGACGUGUGCCUAAAGUCAUCAAAUUGAAACAAUAAUAAAUAAUUUCAGUAUCUAUUAGAC